rnacentral:rRNA from 1 species
UACAGAGGGUGCAAGCGUUGUUCGGAAUUAUUGGGCGUAAAGCGCGUGUAGGCGGCUUUGCAAGUCGGGUGUGAAAUCCCUCAGCUCAACUGAGGAAGUGCGCCCGAAACUGCAGAGCUUGAGUACCGGAGAGGAUGGCGGAAUUCCCCAAGUAGAGGUGAAAUUCGUAGAUAUGGGGAGGAACACCGGUGGCGAAGGCGGCCAUCUGGACGGAUACUGACGCUGAGACGCGAAAAGCGUGGGGAGCAAACA